GACGAACGCUGGCGGCGUGCCUAACACAUGCAAGUCGAGCGAUGAAGUUUCCUUCGGGAAACGGAUUAGCGGCGGACGGGUGAGUAACACGUGGGUAACCUGCCUUGUAGAGGGGGAUAGCCUUUCGAAAGGAAGAUUAAUACCGCAUAAGAUUGUAGUUUCGCAUGAAACAGCAAUUAAAGGAGCAAUCCGCUACAAGAUGGACCCGCGGCGCAUUAGCUAGUUGGUGAGGUAACGGCUCACCAAGGCGACGAUGCGUAGCCGACCUGAGAGGGUGAUCGGCCACAUUGGGACUGAGACACGGCCCAGACUCCUACGGGAGGCAGCAGUGGGGAAUAUUGCACAAUGGGGGAAACCCUGAUGCAGCAACGCCGCGUGAGUGAUGACGGUCUUCGGAUUGUAAAGCUCUGUCUUUGGGGACGAUAAUGACGGUACCCAAGGAGGAAGCCACGGCUAACUACGUGCCAGCCGCCGCAGUAAGAC
rnacentral:rRNA from 1 species